rnacentral:rRNA from 1 species
CCAUGCAAGUCCAAGUACACGUCCUUGAACGACGGAAACUGCGAACGGCUCAUUAAAUCAGUUGCGAUCUACUCGGCGUUCCGCGCCGCCGGAUAACCGUAGUAAUUCUAGGGCUAAUACGUGCGAAGCGCCCGAAGCCGCGAGGCGACGGGCGUUCUCGCCGGAUGUAGGAACCGACCCGGGGACCGCCGGGGCAACCCGGCGCCCCCGAGACGGGGCGAACCACGGUGAAAUGACGGAUCGUCGGCCCCGCGCCGGCGACUCGCCGAAUGAGUUUCUGACCUAUCAACUCGAGACGGCGGGGUAGAGGCCCGCCGCGGUAACGACGGGUAACGGGGAAUCAGGGUUCGAUUCCGGAGAGGGAGCCCGAGAAACGGCUACCACUUCCAAGGAAGGCAGCAGGCG